AGGUUUGCUCUAUAAAGGGGGGAAUCUCAGUGAACAUAUCCAAGUUUGCUUACGCCCCGAAGCCUCAGUGUGGACCGCAUGACGACAGAUGCAGUGGCCCUUCUGAGCUGCUGUCGCCUCAAGGCGAAUUGGCUGUGACUGCUGGUGACAAGAGUGUGGAUGACACGUCGGGGUCCAGAGAGUUGCCAAGGGGGGUGGACAAACUCCGAUCUCCCUUGAGCGUCGCUCAUAUUCCGGUUCCAGCAUUUCAACAUCAAGACGACAGUCGAGUCGACAAGAGGGAUGACAGCCGUAAGAAGAGAUCUUACGACGACAGAAGCUCAGGACUUGAUGUGCAGUGGAA